rnacentral:lncRNA from 1 species
AGGCAAGAUUCAAUUCACCUUAAUUCGUUCAAGCUUAAUUAGCAGCUGGGAUGCAUCUGGCAAAUAAACAUGCAGAUAGUGACAGCCUGAGUUAAAGGAAAAAAAGUAAAAGGCUUUUGUUCAUUAACCACAUGUUCUUGGUUGUGAGUACUGUGUGCUCAAGGCAGAACAGAAUCAUGUUUAGACUACUUUUUUUUUUUUUUUUUUGUAAAAGACAGAAACCUUCAUACUCAUACCCUCGUUCCCGGUAUAUGCAUGCAGGAUGUUUAAAUUCAUUUGGAGUGUAAAGGCAGAAUGUAUAAAUUAAUGUAUGAGGCUGAAAAGGCAUCAAAGACAGAUUUGAAUGAGGUAAGAUUUGAUACAGGACAUUUUAUCAGUGUUUAUUGGCUCGUGGUAAUUUGAUAGCUGUGUUUUGCUAAAUUCAGCUGCAUUCCAUCAAUUGCAAAUGGGUCAGG